rnacentral:lncRNA from 1 species
GGGGGGCGGGGGGGGGGGUUGCCAUGGUUUGGCUCGGCGCCCGAGGACAAAAGUUGCAGAAAUUUACACCCAUUCACGAAAUCGGAUCUGUGUCCGAGAAUCGUUGUUCAAUUUUUACCGAGAGCAACAUUGUUCAACAGAGAAGAUGACGUUGAAUCCGAAUAUGUUUUCAAAAUUUAAAAACGAGUGCAUAUAGAAAAAGUGCCUGAGAGUUUCGGUGAGGCUAUUGCUGUUUCAGCAAGAAUCUCGAUGUUUGCGCCACUAAAUUGGUUUCUUAUUUUGCUUGUUUCUUACUCCUGUUUUUGAAAGUUUUUUGAAAUCAAAAUGAUGCGGAAGAAGGUUUCUCAGAAAUCCCAAAAAUUGUGAAGAUGUAAGGGAUCUGGCAAUUGGGCGAGUCUGGGAUUGUGAAGAGGUGGGGGAGCCGCAGAAGCAUCGGAGAGGUGUUAAUUUAAUGGGGGAAGCAAUUGAAGUGCGAUCCCGAUGGCGGAAUGUUUCUGAAAAAUCAAGAAUGUGGGGAGGUGGCCAUAUAUGUGUGUGAUUUUGAUUGUGUGUAGCUUUAUUUCCAGCUAGGGGUGAGCAGAAACCGAACCGACACUUAAAAUCGAACCGCACCAUUUCUUCCGCGACUCGCCUGCCGUCUGCCAAUCCGCAUCGCCGUGACAGCCCAGACUCGACUUCCAGUUUCUAGCGGCGAGAACAAAGUCCCUCUUCCGGCGGCAGCCCAGUCGACUGCCUAGACACGUCGUCCAGUUUCCAGCGGCGACUACCCCCUAUUUGGCAUUUGAAAUUUGUGUUUUUUAACAUUAUUUUACAGGUUUUAUUUGGUUUUUUCUCAAUAUAUAUUGCAUCGGUUCGGCUUCGAACCGAAACCGACAGUUUUACCGGUUUGGUUUUGGUUCGGUUGGACACCCCUAAUUGGUGCGGUUUGGUUCCAAUUUUAACCAUCGGUUUGAUUUUCGGUUUUUGGUUCAGUUUUGCACCGAACCGAACCGAUGCUCACCCCUAUUUCCAGCUUUAUCAAAGUUUCAUCACUUCUUGUGUUUCAUUCCC